rnacentral:tRNA from 1 species
GUAUCUGUAGCUUAAGAAUUGGAGAGUACACCAUUGAAGCUGGUGAGGAAAUAAAUUUAUUCAGUUACA